AUUUAAAUAUUUUAAGUUCCAACAAAUUGAUGCAAUCAAAAGUUUUGAGUUUUAAUAUAUAGGUAGAAUGUUGAAUGUGGUCCAUGUCAUUUAUUCAAGACAAUCUAUAAAGAUACAGUUGAUCUAUUCAAAAUGAUUAAUAACGAUAUGACCGAUCCAACUGUUAGGAUGUAUCUAGACACGUUCUUGAUGGACGGACGUGAUUAAACAUCCUAACAUUAGGAAAGUUCUUGUCACGCCACGCGACCGCCAAUUUGGUCGUUUCGGGCACGCCAACAGACGCCAAACGGACAUAACCUUCCCUAUCCGCCCUAGGCUCCACCCACCAACAACAUGUAUAGUAAUUCAUACAGAGAUAGAAUUCAAGUAUACAUGGCUUGCACGAGGGCAAGCAUCAACCACCACAAGUGAAAGUACUACUAGCUAUUACACCCACACAUGAUAUUUGAUUUCUUUUAACCAAAUACAAGCAUUCAACAUAUUACAUUCUUUUUCUACUUUACAUCACAUAACCCCAUAAUAAUUUACAUCAUUUAUACAUCAUCAUGGUAUACAAAAUAUGAAUACAACA
rnacentral:lncRNA from 1 species